UGCUUUUCAAACAGUCUUGAAGGAGUUCCCACAUAUUGCUGAGCACUUGUUGGAUGCUUUUUCUUCACUCUGCAGUCCAACUCAUCCCAAACCAUUUCAAUUGGGUUGAGGUCGGGUGAUUGUGGAGGCCAGGUCAUCUGAUGCAGCACUUCCUCACUCGCCUUAUGGGCCAAAUAGCCCUUACACAGCCUGGAUGUGUGUUGGGUCAUUGUCCUGUUGAAAAACCAGAUGAGAUGGCGCAAACCAGAUGAGAUGGCGUAUCGCUGCAGAAUGCUGCCGUAGCCAUGCUGGUUAAGUGUGCUUUGAAUUCUAAAUAAAUCACUGACAGUGUCACCAGCAAAGCACCCCCACACCAUCACACCUCCUGCUCCAUGCUUCACGGUAGGAAUCACACAUGCGGAGAUCAUCCAUUCACCUACUGUGCAUUUCACAAAGACGAGGAGUCUUAUGGCUUGGGGGUAGAAGCUUUGUAGGAGCCUCUUGGACCUAGAUUUGGAGCUGCGGUACCACUUGCCGUGCAGUAGCAGAGAGAACAGUCUAUGACUAGGGUGGCUGGAGUCUUUGACAAUUUUUAGGGCCUUCCGCUGACACCGCCUGGUAUAGAGGUCCUGGAUGGCAGGAAGCUUGGCCCCAGUGGUGUACUGGGCUGUACGCACUACCCUCUGUAGUGCCUUGUGGUCUGAGGCCGAGCAGUUGCCAUACCAGGCAGUGAUGCAACCCGUCUGGAUGCUCUCGAAGGUGCAGCUGUAAAACCUUUUGAGGAUCAUAGCGCUUGGACCUGAGCCCUAGGACCAUGCCUCAGGACUACCUGGUAUGAUGACUCCUUGCUGUCCCCAGUCCACCUGGCCGUGCUGCUGCUCCAGUUUCAACUGUUCUGCCUGCGGCUAUGGAACCCUGACCUGUUCACCGGACGUGCUUGUUGCACCCUCGACAACUACUAUGAUUAUUAUUAUUUGACCAUACUGGUCAUUUAUGAACAUUUUAACAUCUUGACCAUGUUCUGUUAUAAUAUCCACCCUGCACAGCCAGAAGAGGACUGGCCACCCCUCAUAGCCUGGUUCCUCUCUAGGUUUCUUCCUAGGUUUUUGGCCUUUCUAGGGAGUUUUUCCUAGGGAGUUUUUCCUAGCCACCGUGCUUCUUUCACA
rnacentral:lncRNA from 1 species